AUUAAACGCUGGCGGCAUGCCUUACACAUGCAAGUCGAACGGUAGCGCGGGGCAACCUGGCGACGAGUGGCGAACGGGUGAGUAAAGCAUCGGAACGUGCCCUGGAAUGGGGGAUAACGUAGCGAAAGUUACGCUAAUACCGCAUAUUCUGUGAGCAGGAAAGCAGGGGACCGCAAGACCUUGCGUUCUGGGAGCGGCCGAUGUCGGAUUAGCUAGUUGGUGGGGUAAAAGCCUACCAAGGCGACGAUCCGUAGCGGGUCUGAGAGGAUGAUCCGCCACACUGGGACUGAGACACGGCCCAGACUCCUACGGGAGGCAGCAGUGGGGAAUUUUGGACAAUGGGCGGAAGCCUGAUCCAGCCAUGCCGCGUGAGUGAAGAAGGCCU
rnacentral:rRNA from 1 species